UUGAAGAUUACGCCCCUUCUUAGAGUU
rnacentral:tRNA from 1 species